rnacentral:lncRNA from 1 species
UUACAAGUUUUAUUGAAGGUGAAAAGAAGCAAGUACUUGUAUUUAGGUAUUGGAGAAUAAUACCUCAACUCAACCAGUGUAUUUGCUUAUUGCUUUUGUUGAUUUAUUUCAUCACAACAUAAAUGUUAUUCUAUUCAUAAAAGAAUGUUAAGCAUUACAAUAUUUUCUUUGUUAUAUUAUUUGUUUGAUUGAAAUUAAUUUUUAAAUAAAAAUCCUAAUAAA